ensembl:lncRNA
UAUCCAGUCAUAAAGAUUGAAAGAAACUUUAGCUAAUACCACUUAAUGACAGGCCUGCGUCUGCUCCCUCACUUAUGUCCCAGGUCACCAGCAUUUACCCCCACCUCAUAAAAGAGCAGAGGGCUUGCUUUGACUCCUCUCAGAGCGACCUGCAACUCACUGGCUGUGCAAGCCCAGAAAGCACUUCAGCACGAUGUUUGGGGCCAUUUGAAAGAGCACAGUCACUCACAAAAAGCACAAAAUUGUGAAGAGCCCUGCACUAGAUGGAUCAUGGAAAGGACAUGUUAACAGUGUGAGCUGAAACAGGAGGGUGGAGCAUCGGUCGGCUUGCUGGACUUCAGCUGGGAAUUUGCACGUGGGGCCACUCUUCGAAUGUCCACCAGCGACCCUGAAGGCAUGGGCUUCCCUGGUAGCCCAGCCUGUAAAGAAUCUGUCUGCAGUGCAGGAGACCUGGAUUUGACCCCUGGGUCAGGAAGAUCCCCUGGAGAAGGAAACGGCAAACCACUCCAACUUCCCUGGUGGCUCAGAUG